CUGUGUGCAGUGCCCUACCCGGUAAGGUAGUGAUCACUUAGAUGAGGUGUGAUCACUGCCUGUCUGGGUGGAGUAACGCACAACAG
ncrna:Equus caballus (horse) microRNA eca-mir-8908i precursor